rnacentral:rRNA from 1 species
CACGUAGGGGGCAAGCGUUGUCCGGAAUCAUUGGGCGUAAAGAGCGUGUAGGCGCCAGGUAGGUCCGUUGUGAAAACUCGAGGCUCAACCUCGAGACGUCGACGGAAACCAUCUGGCUAGAGUCCGGAAGAGGAGAGUGGAAUUCCUGGUGUAGCGGUGAAAUGCGCAGAUAUCAGGAAGAACACCCGUGGCGAAGGCGGCUCUCUGGGACGGUACUGACGCUGAGACGCGAAAGCGUGGGGAGCGAACAGG